rnacentral:tRNA from 1 species
GGCGGCAUGGCCAAGUGGUAAGGCGGAGGACUGCAAAUCCUUUAUCCCCAGUUCAAAUCCGGGUGUCGCCUGAUCAACAAA